AAUUUGAAAUCUGGCCCCUUCGGGGUCCGAGUUGUAAUUUGUAGAGAGUGCUUCGGGGGAGACCGCGGUCUAAGUCCAUUGGAACAUGGCGUCAUAGAGGGUGAGAAUCCCGUAUGUGACCGUGGCUCGAACCCGUGUGAAGCCUCUUCGACGAGUCGAGUUGUUUGGGAAUGCAGCUCAAAAUGGGUGGUAAAUUUCAUCUAAAGCUAAAUACUGGCUGGAGACCGAUAGCGCACAAGUAGAGUGAUCGAAAGAUGAAAAGCACUUUGGAAAGAGAGUUAAAAAGUACGUGAAAUUGUUGAAAGGGAAGCGCUGGCAACCAGACCUGCCCGUAGGCGAUCAGCCGCUGUUCUCAGCGGUGCACUCGCUCUGCGAUCAGGCCAGCAUCGGUUCCGGCGGUCGGAUAAAGGCCUUGGGAAUGUAGCUGCCCUUCGGGGGAGUCUUAUAGCCCUCGGUGCAAUGCGGCCAGCCGGGACCGAGGACCGCGCUUCGGCUAGGAUGCUGGCGUAAUGGUUGUCAGCGACCC
rnacentral:rRNA from 1 species